AAUAGACUUUGGUUCGGUUUGAAUCGGUUCGGUUGGUUCGGUUGGUUUCGUUUGACUCGGUUCGGUUUGAUUUUUUUUGCCCAUUCCUAAUCUCUGGUGUCCGGUAACAGUGGUUGCGAUUUUUAUGGCCAUUUGGUUUUCCCUAGUAAUGUAUGUUCCAGCGAGCAGUAUUGGAUUUGACUGAGAUAAUACCUCAUGGCUUCCACUCUAUUUUGCAAGUGAGGAUAAUGUAACGGAUACAAGAUAGAAUUUUGAGUGUGAAAGAAGGAGGCUGCAAAGACAACAUGGUAAAGUGAAGUAGCCAGAAGAUAUCAAGUGGCGAUCUUUCUUAGUCGAGAGAGAAAAGCUAAACUAAGAGUAUGAAUGGUGACCAGGGAACGGUGACGAAUAAUGCAUUCCGUAAUGUUUCUAAAAAAUAUCACCUUUCAUAAGGAGUAAUUUUUUCUUCUCAUUUCCUACCAUUCCUUUUUUGUAGAGAAAUAAAGAACAAAAUUAUUCCUUGUUAAAUUUGAGAAGGAACAAUCGUUCCUUUUCAUUCCUGCAAUUUUAUUCUUUUACGUUCCUUUUUUAUUCGUUCCGCUUGUUUCCAGAAUGGUCACCAGUCGAACCCUAAAUCUUUUCCAAGUAAAGAGAAUCUACCAAAAUCUCGUUUGGUAGAAUCUUUUAAGUGUUCUUUUUUGGUAAAACAAAGUCGACAUGGGUACCCUAAACAUAUGGGUUAAUGGGCUUGUCUAUAAUAAUGUUUUGGCUUUUCUUCUGUAGUCUUUUUUUUUAUUGUUUUUUAUAAAAGCUUAACAGUACAAGAGGAUUUGAAAGACCAAUACAAACAUUAAGAGCACCUCCAUCGGAGGCUUUUAUAAAAGGUUCUAAAAAAAACCAAAAAAAAUAAAUAAAAAAAAUGAUAAAACAAGAGAACCGCCGUCUAAUAUAGGGCUUUUGGAAUCGGUAAAAACCCCAUACGUGCUUCCUUGGUAUUGGUCGUCUCUCUCUUCCUCGAUGCUUUUUUUUCUCUCAAAAAUCUCGUCGUCGUUCUUUGUUGUUGCUCUCCUCCUGCAAAUCCGUCCAUGAAAUCAAGAUUAUCUUGCGGAGGUUUUGGUAUAUGAACCAAGGUAAGGAACAAGAAUCUCUGUUUCUUUUCUGUUUUGUUUUGUUUCCUUCAUUUUUUUUUCACUUUAAUUUGUGAAUUGUGGUGUGAUUGUAUUCUCGUUUAUUGGUCUCCCUCUGCUACUUCAUAGUUAAUAGUUUUGCAGUAUCCUUUAACGUUAUGUUUGUAUUGAUUUGGCUGAUAUUGUGGACAUGUGGUUUUGGAAUACUCUACUUGAUGUUUGACUAGUUCCCUGUUGGUUUAAUGGUUUCAGUUGAGAAAUUCUUGUAGUUGGUUGCUAAUCUGUUUCUCCUUGAUUUGUCAGCGUCAAGUUGGAACGCAUUGUGUAAUUUGCUGAUGAGUCUAUGAGAAACACUUAGGCUUUCCUUUGUAAAUUGUAUUAUAGCUCAUUACUUUCAUUCGUAUCUAAGAAAUCUAGAUGUGCACCUUAUGUGGCAACAGUUUAGUUCACUUACUUGUAGGCCUGCUUCUCACAUCAUUCUGGGACUUGUGGAAUCUAACUUAGUAAAAACACCUGGGAUCCCUCCUUCACUUGAUGAACUACUACUACUGUACAAGUUAGAUUAUUGGUAACUUCUUUUGAUGUUCCACAUUGGUAGCUUCUCCUCUGCUAUAGGACCAAUAGAGUAGUUUCCUUCAAGAAUUUACUCUCUUACAUUACUGUGUUAUUGCUAGCAAAUUGAAAACAAUUAUAUUUGAUGCUUGCAGUGAAGUAAGCGAUACAGAUGACUAUGAUUCAGAUUCCAGCAUCUGCACAAUUAUGUAGUCCUCAACCAACCACCAUUAACAUGGAGUUUUAACAAUGAGCUCGUCCUUUGUGUCUAGCUUCUUUUUAAGCAAUCAAUUCUUUUGUGAUCAAGUCUUCUGUCACAUUUCAUUAAUAGGAGUGAGAGUAUAUAUAUAAUAGAUUACUUAUGUAUUGUCCAAUAGAGGCUGAAGAUCUUUGCGAAUGCUGUUUGAUUUGAUGACAGGUUUUUGACAGUAAACUAUGUAUGUAUUUACUGCAACACACACAAGCUAAUUCAAUUGUAAGCAUGUGCAGCCAUUUUAUUC